rnacentral:rRNA from 1 species
UCCGUAGCAAUACGGAUGGCGCACGGCGCACGGGUGCGUAACACGUGGGCAAUCUGCCCUCGGAUGGGGGAUAACCCCGCGAAAGCGGGGCUAAUACCGCAUGACAUUCCGAAGACUCCGGUCUUUGGACUCAAAGGCCGCAAGGUCGUCUGAGGAGGAGCCCGCGCCCGAUUAGCUAGUUGGUGAGGUAACGGCUCACCAAGGCUUUGAUCGGUAGCCGGUCUGAGAGGAUGGCCGGCCACACUGGAACUGAGACACGGUCCAGACUCCUACGGGAGGCAGCAGUGGGGAAUAUUGCGCAAUGGGCGAAAGCCUGACGCAGCGACGCCGCGUGGGGGAUGAAGCUUCUCGGAGUGUAAACCCCUUUCGACCCGGACGAAUGACCCGCAAGGGUUUGACGGUACGGGUAUAAGAAGCCCCGGCUAACUACGUGCCAGCAGCCGCGGUAAUACGUAGGGGGCCAGCGUUGCUCGGAAUUACUGGGCGUAAAGGGUUCGUAGGUGGUGCGGCAAGUUGGAAGUGAAAUCUCUGGGCUUAACCCAGAGGCUGCUUUCAAAACUGCCGUGCUCGAGUGCGAGAGAGGCCAGUGGAAUUGCAGGUGUAGCGGUGAAAUGCGUAGAUAUCUGCAGGAACACCCGUGGCGAAGGCGGCUGGCUGGAUCGCAACUGACACUGAGGAACGAAAGCUAGGGGAGCAAACAGGAUUAGAUACCCUGGUAGUCCUAGCCCUAAACCAUCAGAACUUGGGGUGGCCCGCGUAGGCGGGUCGUCCCGUAGCUAACGCGUUAAGUUCUGCGCCUGGGGAGUACGGUCGCAAGACUGAAACUC